rnacentral:rRNA from 1 species
UACGAAGGGGGCUAGCGUUGCUCGGAAUCACUGGGCGUAAAGGGCGCGUAGGCGGCGUUUUAAGUCGGGGGUGAAAGCCUGUGGCUCAACCACAGAAUUGCCUUCGAUACUGGGACGCUUGAGUGUGGUAGAGGUUGGUGGAACUGCGAGUGUAGAGGUGAAAUUCGUAGAUAUUCGCAAGAACACCGGUGGCGAAGGCGGCCAACUGGACCAUCACUGACGCUGAGGCACGAAAGCGUGGGGAGCAAACAGG